rfam:Branchiostoma floridae genomic scaffold BRAFLscaffold_93, whole genome shotgun sequence.
CUGUAAUGAUGAGGCAUUUACCGCCCCAGUCUGAUAAUCAUGACUGAUUGGUCACACUGAGCACAC